rnacentral:SRP_RNA from 1 species
GCGGGGCCCAGUGGCGCGUGCCUGUAGUCCCAGCUACUCGGGAGGCCGAGGUGAGAGAAUCACUUAAGCCUAGGAGCUCUGGGCUAUAGUGUGCUAUGCCGAUUGGUAUCCACACUAAAUUCAGCAUCAAUAUGAUGACCUCCGGGGACCACCAGGUUACCUAAGGAGGACCACCAGGUUGCCUAAGGAGGGGUGAACCAGCCCAGGUCAGAAACGGAGCAGGUCAAAACUCCCAUGCUGAUCAGUAGUGGGAUCACGCCAGUGAAUAGCCACUGCACUCCAGCCUGGGCAACAUAGCAAGACCCUGUCUCU